rnacentral:rRNA from 1 species
CGUCAGUCUUUGUCCAGGGGGCCGCCUUCGCCACCGGUAUUCCUCCAGAUCUCUACGCAUUUCACCGCUACACCUGGAAUUCUACCCCCCUCUACAAGACUCAAGCUUGCCAGUUUCAAAUGCAGUUCCCAGGUUGAGCCCGGGGAUUUCACAUCUGACUUAACAAACCGCCUGCGUGCGCUUUACGCCCAGUAAUUCCGAUUAACGCUUGCACCCUCCGUAUUACCGCGGCUGCUGGCACGGAGUUAGCCGGUGCUUCUUCUGCGAGUAACGUCAAUCGCUAAGGUUAUUAACCUUAACGCCUUCCUCCUCGCUGAAAGUACUUUACAACCCGAAGGCCUUCUUCAUACACGCGGCAUGGCUGCAUCAGGCUUGCGCCCAUUGUGCAAUAUUCCCCACUGCUGCCUCCCGUAGGAGUCUGGACCGUGUCUCAGUUCCAGUGUGGCUGGUCAUCCUCUCAGACCAGCUAGGGAUCGUCGCCUAGGUGAGCCAUUACCCCACCUACUAGCUAAUCCCAUCUGGGCACAUCUGAUGGCAUGAGGCCCGAAGGUCCCCCACUUUGGUCUUGCGACGUUAUGCGGUAUUAGCUACCGUUUCCAGUAGUUAUCCCCCUCCAUCAGGCAGUUUCCCAGACAUUACUCACCCGUCCGCCGCUCGUCACCCGA